rnacentral:tRNA from 1 species
GGAGAGGUGGUAGAGUUGGUUGAUUGCGUCUGAUUUGAAAUCAGAUGAACCGCAAGGUUCCGUGGGUUCGAAUCCCACCCUCUCCGUUA